UGAAGACUGUGAGCAGGUACAUGGAGCAAGAAUAAUGGCUGGCACCGAGCUUUGCUGCAGGAAACCAGCUUUGUUGUAUCAGCUUUCCACUUGCCGUUGCUGUUGCCAGAGGGAAGGAGAUGAGGGAAAUGGGCUAGAACAGCCGAAAAUCUGAUUUAUUUGAAAAAAUACAAUCCUGGGGAAUUGCCAGUAUUAAAUGUACUUAGCACUUGUGCUUGAAGGUAAAAAUAUGGCAUAUGAGAGAGAAGUAGGGACUUUGCAGGGAAAAGGCAAACUAAAUACCAGCAUUGCGGUUGCCAGCUUUUGUGUUUCACAUGCAAUUACAAAAUGUAGUAGCAGCCCAUUUGUAUUGUGCAUGAUUUGUGUAUCAUGAUUAAUCACUGAGGUCUCGACUGGCAACAGCAAGUUGUCUUAGUAAACUAUUUUGUGCAGCCUCCACAGCAGUAAGCGUCGUACUAGGUGGAGUGAGAAACAAAUCCCUUUGGAAAGUCAUUGGAUCUCUCUUCCCUUGGCAAAACUACAACAAAUUUUUUGUCCAGCCUGUCAGAUAUGUCAUACAGGUUUUGCUGCCAGUGUGGUGGUCUGAUCUAAAGCCUGUACUAAGCCUCAUACUUACCGUGGAUUUUAGAUUACUGUGAUGAGUAAUCAGAUUAGUGAGGAGGCCUCUAAGUGUGUAGAAGAACCCUGCUGCUGAAGGAGGGAACUGGCCUGAAGGGUGAGAGUACAGCUGAAUAGGAGCUUCUGGAGUUCAGUAAAGAGGCGUCAUAGAACCAUCGGAUCCAAAUGAUAAUGUGAUAGUAUCAAUGAUUUCUAGUACUAGACUACUAAAACUGGGCCAUCUUCCCAAUAUUAAUGCUGGAAAUAGCGUCUCUAACUUAAAAUUAACUUGUCUUUGGCACAGCCAGUAAUAUAAAUUAUUCUCAGGUUCCACUGUGCGUGAAUUUAAUCACAAGUGAAUUUAUGUACAGGAGCAAUUCAUAAUGACAAUGGUUUAAGUUAGAUCUGAGUGUAGGUGUUUGUAUCACAUAACAGCAUACCAUCUAUAGGAGGGAAGAGUUUACGUAACAUUCUUGCUCUGUGUUCCUGUGUUAUGGUUGGUAGAAUGAGACUGGGGGCCAGUUUGUGAAUUGACACAGAGCUGAAGUGACUGUUCAGUUUGUGUAGGACUGUGUCCGAGCCCCAGGAGGGCCCUGAUAGGACUGAUAGAGCCUCCAGGGACUAAAAAAAAGACUGAAGAGUUGUUUAUGUAGUCUCAAGGUAACCUUCGGUUUGGAGGUAACCAGUGAGGUGUUUUCAACUAAACAAAAAGGUUUCUAUAUCGUUACAAUUACGAUUUUUUUUUUCCCCAGAUGGCAUUUCCACUCUUAUAAUUUAUUCUAAAAUAUUCUUGUGGGAAGUAUCCAGUCCAUUUUCACUGUGUGCUGUACUCGGGGGGGUAGAAUGUUAAGCAUUUGUAAAGAGUACAUAUGUGUAGCCAGAACCAAGUCAAAGCAAGACUCCCUCAUAGCUCUCGGGGUCUGUGUGGCAAACAGAGCCAUAUGGAAGGAGAGCUGGUACGUGAUCCCCCUUCUGCCCCUCCUGAAAUUUAGCUGAAAUGAUUUCUUUUCUUUUUUAAAUUUCAUGUGGUUCCUGCUAGACGUCUUUGCACUUUUAUCAGAGCCAAUGAAAUGGCUGAUACAAUCCUUUCACCCCUGUGGUCUUUGUGCCAGCGUGUACUGAUCUUUCCAGCUUGCUUUUCCUGACUUGUUGCUGUGGGAAGUACAUGGGCAAAGUGUAUUUUGUGACCCUGUGAGCUCUGUCCUAUCACAGAUAUUGAGGAACUGCUAAUGCAAACCAGAAUUCAAAUUCUCACACUGAUUCACUGUCUCUAUAUGUCAGCAGACUCGAAAAACUUCAGGAGAAUUCAAAUCAGCUCCAACACUGAGGCAAGAACAUUGUACUAGCAGACAUUAAAUGCUGUUUCUUUAAAGCUAAAGACCACACAGGCUGUUAACACCUCUUCUUAGCCUGUGACUCCAACACUGGAAGAGUGCUGGACACAGCAGAUGUCUUGAGAAGAUCUGGUGUAGGAAUGAGAAGCCUGUUCUGCUCCAUUUCCAUGGAAAUCUCCCUGAAGAUGAAGCUGAUUUGGAAGAAAAUGUUCUCUUCACAUCUAAGGCUGCCCUAGAGAAACUCAGAAGGAACAGCGUGUCCUGUCCCAAAAAGGCUGCAGACAAGUGAGUUCUAGUCUUUCCUAACUGAAGGAAGCAGUGGCCGCAGUGUGUGCUGAGUCAUUAACUCACUCCUCAACACAUCAGCUGAAAAAUGAAGGGGUAGGAACUGACAGAGGAACUCUAAGUACCUACUACAAAAUGGCUGUUGUUGGGUGAAAGUGGAUGUCUGAAAGGUUAGCUGGAAACUCCCCGUCUCUGUUCUGUUGGUGUUUAAGGACUGAUAUUUUGUUAUAGUUAAAAUUGCUACAACAGUUUUCACCUCAACAAUUUGCAUCUGCCAUAGUAACAUGAAAAUGUAAAACCUUGGUAUGAUGUAUGAAAUGAUGAUUAAUUUACAGCAUUUAUCUUGGUUUACUAAUCAUUCUGGUUUUAGCUGAUAAUUUUAUUUGUAAUCUCCACAGUUAAAUUGCCAUAAAAUAUCAUAGUUAUAAAGACAUUCAUGAGCAGUUGAAAGGAUAUGACACACUGUAAUUUAGGAAUUAAUGCACACAUAAAAAAGGCAAAUUCAAGAGAAAGCUGCUAAUACAUGUACGUUGUGGGAAAAACAAAGCAGGGGAAAAAAAGCUGCAAACCAGAAGAUAAGCACAUGAGCAUUGCAGCUGUAUCAUUAAAUGGCAGUUUAAAGAUAUGGUAAAACCACCUCUGAACAAAGAGUAACAAAGGGCAGAGAAAUGUAACAAAAUAGCCUAGUGCUGAGUGUGAGUGGUACCAGCUGGAAAACAUUCCCAGUCCCUGCCUGAUUAAGCUCUGCCUUGCCAUCUCUCUCAACAGGGACAGCUAAAGAAUGUCCCCCAUUUAAUGAAACUCGGACAUAUCACUUCCACUGUGGAAGCACUGGGGAGCUCCACAAAAGGAUCAGGGCCUGCAUUCCCAGGGAAUGCAAAACUGUGAGCAAGAUGCUCUUUGCUGGCAGUACUGGGUAAUCCCGAUUUACAAGAUAUCCAAGUGUAGGACAAGACCUUUGAAGACUGAAGCAGUCUCCAAAUACGCCAUCUGCUGCCUUCUUGGGUUUCUGAUCCUGUCUACAUACCCCAGGGAAGCGUGGCCAUGGGCUUCCACUGGUGGAUUUGGGCUGGUACCUUGCAGAGCCUCAUGGUGUACACUGGGCUCAGUGCUGGCUGGUCACUCAGUGCUAGGUUGGGAGUGGUGGGAGCUCUGUGUUGCUCUGUUUUCCUCAAGUUGAAGGCAGCAGUUUAAAUCUAGGCUGGGCAUGUCCAUGUUGCCGCUGUCUGAAGUACGGGAGUACCGCAGUAUCAGCCAGCUCCUCUUCACCUGCAUGUCUCUCUGGGUGAUGUCAUCACCAACCACAUGUGACAGGAAGGAACACACAGUAUCUACAGUCUGCAAGCAAUGCAGAAUUAAAGUUUUCUUCAGAACAACAACCAGAAGCUUAAGGAAGGGGGUAGAUAGAGGUGGGUGAAGUAAUCAAGAAAAUUAUAUGGACUUUGGUACAUUCAACAUGCGCUUACAUUGGUAGUAGACUAUUUAUUUGUUUAAUUUGGCUACUCUAUCUCUUUUAAUGAUUGGUCAUGCUGGGUUGCAUAGAUAUAAUUAUCCUUUUUAGAUCCCUGUAAUUGCAUGAAGAAGAAAUGUAGAGUUAUGUUUUCCUUCACUAUUAACUGUGUAGCUCUGCAGAGGUGCACAGGGAGAGAUCCAUCUCCUUAUGGCUUGAGACACACAAAUUACAGGAAAUUAGGGAAGUUCCUCCCCCCUUUUCUGUACAGGCAACCCUUUGUUGUGUGUUUGUUCUUCAUAGAAAACAGUUAGUCAUUAAUCAUAUGCAAUCCAAUAGGGAACCUUAUGAUCAAGGAAUGAGGAGUUCAGCCAUGCUUCCUUUGAAGGAUGUUUUUACAAGGCACAGAUUAUCCCAUGGCAAAAGUAAUCCUUAGCAAUAAAGAGAAGAGUUGGAAAUGGUAGAAGUAGAGUAGCAGUAGCUCUUUGGUUACUUUGAACUGUCUUGGGGAAUUGCAAUUUAUACCUACAAAAGAAUGGGAAGAGUUUGAAGAAUGGUGUGAUGAGAUGGAGCCUGUAUCUUAAUGGGUUGCUGUGUUUAACAGGGUCCUGGCUUCAAACAAACUCAUUUCCCUUUCCAAGGCUGCUCAUGGAAAUGCACAUCUGUUGGUCCCUGCUCUCACUCUGCUUUCAUUCAGACACCCAUUCUAAAGAAUAAUGAACAUUUAAGACCUAGCAGAGAUUUUAUUAGCUCAGUCCCCCCAGCACAAUUUUAUUUUGUAUCUUAAAUUCCCCAAUUCUCUUAUUUUCUGUUCUAGCGUUACCUUGACAAUACGUA